UGUCGGGGUAACGGCCCAACAAGCCAGUAAUCGGUACGGGUUGUGGGAGCAAGAGCCCGGAGUUGGAUUCUGAGACACGAAUCCAGGCCCUACGGGGCGCAGCAGGCGCGAAAACUUUACAAUGCGGGCAACCGUGAUAAGGGAACCUCGAGUGCCUGUAUAUGCAGGCUGUCUGGGUGUCUAAAACACACCUAAAGAAAGGGCCGGGCAAGACCGGUGCCAGCCGCCGCGGUAAUACCGGCGGCUCGAGUGGUGGCCACUUUUAUUGGGCUUAAAGCGUUCGUAGCUGGGUUAUUAAGUCCCUUGGGAAAUCCGACGGCUUAACCGUCGGGCGUCUAAGGGAUACUGGUAAUCUUGGAACCGGGAGAGGUGAGGGGUACUUCGGGGGUAGGAGUGAAAUCCUGUAAUCCUCGAGGGACCACCUGUGGCGAAGGCGCCUCACCAGAACGGCUUCGACAGUGAGGGACGAAAGCUGGGGGAGCAAACCGGAUUAGAU
rnacentral:rRNA from 1 species